AGACCUAUGAAGGUCGAAGGGGAAGAAAAGCUGUAUCGAUUGUUGAGAUCUGGCGACUUGUUUAAAUUUCAUCAGCCUCACUUCUAUGAACUCUCAGAGCUGAUUACCAACUCCUACCACUGUUAACCCUCAUCCAGGAACAAGCUUAUGUCUUUAACAUUCUGAGUGGGCUUCAGCAUCCUUGCAUAUGUUCAAUUCUUAAAAACCUGUUGAAAUAAAAGAUCAGGAGACAUAGGAAGGAUGCCAGAAGAGAGCGUGGCCUCACGUGUACCAGCUCUCUGCUCUCCUUUGCCUUGGGACGUUCCAUCCCUGGAAGUUUCCCUGCCCACAUCUUUGUAGAGAGUCCAUUCUCCAAGCUUCAGUGUGUCAUCUGUGAGGACCGUGACCCACCUGGUACAUCGCCUCAGGGCAUUCAUUUCAGGCUCCUUCUAAAUGGCCAAGGUAAACCUCAGGUUCUCCUCCUGCCUUUUGCUAAGUAUAUGUCUUGAUGACAAGCCUUCUGCUGAUGAGCUGUGUUUCUGGACCGAUCAUGGUAGAAGUCAAUUAACGUGUCCCUCACUUGGGGUUUCUCAAGGUCAUCUAUGAACUGACUCUGUCUCAAAAAAAAAAAGAAAAAAAAGAAAAGAAAGAAUGAAAAAAAAAACUAGGACAUGGCUAACAGGAAUGGGGACAAAGAAUCUGCACUGAUGAGGAAACUGAAACAGAAAAUCCAGAGUAAAUUCCACCAGGCCACACAGCAAGGUCUGAUAGAGCCAGGAGAGACUUUAUGAAAUCCAGACUCUCACACUAAUGCUCUAUCAGCUAGACCUCCAUGUGAGUCUCCCCAAUGUAGGUAGGAAGUGCUUUCCCUAAAAUGCUCAUAAAGCAAAUCAGAGCAAUGCUGCAUUCCAUGUGAUUUCUAAUUUGAAAUGCAAACAAUUGCCAAUUUGUUUGACUUGUAUUUAUAAUUAUUUCCUUGUGAAUUACUCAUCACUAAAUGCUUUAUAAAUAUUUUCUCUUUUUUUCCUCAAUGUCUAUGGAAUGAUCACAGCAUAGAAAAUGUUGGCUUUCAAGGAUUUAUUAAUAUCUCCUUUUGAAAUAACAUGUAUUUGUAAGACAGAAUAAAAUCACUUUAAAGAAACAAA
ensembl:lncRNA TEX41 testis expressed 41